CUUUUAACAUAAUCAGAACUUCAAAGUUUUGUAUUCUUUUUUAAUUUAUUCUCAAUGCCAGAUCGAUGUGUACAUUAAUGAGAAAGCUGGCAUCAAUUUCACCGAGGUUAAAGGAGGACUAAGCACCAAAGCUCUGGCUAAUGCCAUCACCAGAACACAUACAGAUAAACAGGCAUGGGGUAUUUCUACCCAACAGAGGACCAACAGAAAACAUGUGAUGUCUGUGGAGAGCAGG